rnacentral:lncRNA from 1 species
UGGGCCCGCUCACCUUGCUGCCACCAUGGUUGGGCCUCGCUCUGCUACUCAGGCUCCAGGGCCCAGCCCUGCUCCCCUCUUCGCUCUCCAGGGCCCUGCAGCCCUCCUUACCAUCCUGGGCUAGGCCCCACUCCAUUCCUUGUCCUUCAGGGUCAGGCCCCACUCCCCUUGGCACUGCCAUCACUGUCCUCCAGGGGAUGGGCCCUGCCUCCUUGCUAGUCCAUCAGGGCCUGUGCCCCAUUCCCUCCUCACCCUCCAGGGCCAGGCCCUGCUUCCCUCCUCACCCUCCAGGGCCUGGCCCCAUUCCCUCCUCACCCUCCAGGGCCUGGCCCGGCUCCACUCGCUGCACUACAGGGCCUGACCCCGCUCCACUCCACGCCCUCCAGGGCCUUACCCUGCUCCCCUCACUGCCUUCCAGGACCUGGCCCCAUUCCCCUUGCCACACUCUAGGGUCUGGCCCCUCUCCCCUCCUUGCCCUCCAGGGCUGGGCCCUCCUCAACUCCUUGCCCUCCAGGGCCAGGCCCCAUUCCCCUCCUCACCCUCUUGAGAUUAGACCCUGCUCUCCUCCUCACCCUCCAGUGCCAGGCCCUGCUCCCCUCCUCGCCUUCCAGGGCAUGGACCCUCCUCCCCUAUAUGCCUUCCAGGUCCAAGCCCUGUACCUCUUGCUGUCAUCCAGGGCCAGGCCCUGCUCCCCCUGCCACCCUCCAGGGUCGGGCCCUGCUCCCCUCCUUGCCCUCCAGGGGCAGGCCCUGCUCACCUCCUCGCCUCCAGAGCCUGGGCCCUUCUCCCCUCCUCACCCUCCAGGGAUUGGCCCUGAUACCCUCCUCACCCUCCAUGGCCUGGGCCCAGCUCCCUUCCAUGCCCUCCAGGGCCAGGCCCCGGUGCCCUCCUCGCCAUCCAGGUCCAGGCCCAGCUCACCUCCUUGCCUCCAGGGCUGGGCUUUGCUCACCUCCUCGCCCUGCAUGGCCUUGCCCCACUCCGCUCGCUGCCCUACUGGGCCUGACCCUGCUUUCCUCCAUGCCCUCCAGGGCCUUACACUGCUCCACUCACUGCCUUCCAUUUCCUUGCCUGGAUCCCCUUGCCACCAACCAGGGCCUGACCCUGCUCCCCUCCUCACCCUCCAAGGCCUGGCCCUGCUCACCUCCAUGCUCUCCAUGGCCUGGGCCCUGAUCUCCUCACUACCUUCUAGGGUCUGGCCCUGUUCCUGUUGCCCUCCAGGGCUUGACCCCACUCCCCUCCUCGACCUCCAGGUCCAGGCCCCCCACUUCUCACUACCCUCCAAGGGCAGGCCCUGCUCCCCCUGCCACCUUCCAGGGCCUACCCUGCUCCCUUCCUCGCCCUCCAGGGAUUGACCCUGAUCCCCUCCUCGCCCUCCAUGGCCUGGCCCCAGCUCCCUUCCAUGCCCUCCAGGGCCAGGCCCCGGUGCCCUCCUCGCCAUCCAGGGCCAGGCCCUGCUCCCCUCCUCACCAUCCUGGACCAGUCUCCCCUCCAUUCCCCGCCCUUCCCCGCCCUCAGGCCUGACCCUCUGGCUUCCUUGCCC